rnacentral:rRNA from 1 species
UACGUAGGCAGCGAGCGUUGUUCGGAAUUACUGGGCGUAAAGAGUGUGUAGGCGGUGCUCUAAGUUCGGUGUGAAAUCUCCCGGCUUAACUGGGAGGGUGCGCCGGAAACUGGAGUGCUCGAGCGUGGGAGAGGAAAGCGGAAUUCCUGGUGUAGCGGUGAAAUGCGUAGAUAUCAGGAGGAACACCUGCGGUGUAGACGGCUUUCUGGACCAUAGCUGACGCUGAGACACGAAAGCGUGGGUAGCAAACAGG